rnacentral:rRNA from 1 species
GACGAACGCUGGCGGCGUGCUUAACACAUGCAAGUCGAACGGAAAGGCCCUGCUUUUGUGGGGUGCUCGAGUGGCGAACGGGUGAGUAACACGUGAGUAACCUGCCCUUGACUUUGGGAUAACUUCAGGAAACUGGGGCUAAUACCGGAUAGGAGCUCCUGCUGCAUGGUGGGGGUUGGAAAGUUUCGGCGGUUGGGGAUGGACUCGCGGCUUAUCAGCUUGUUGGUGGGGUAGUGGCUUACCAAGGCUUUGACGGGUAGCCGGCCUGAGAGGGUGACCGGCCACAUUGGGACUGAGAUACGGCCCAGACUCCUACGGGGGGCAGCAGUGGGGAAUAUUGCACAAUGGGCGGAAGCCUGAUGCAGCAACGCCGCGUGCGGGAUGACGGCCUUCGGGUUGGAAACCGCUUUCGCCUGUGACGAAGCGUGAGUGACGGUAAUGGGUAAAGAAGCACCGGCUAACUACGU